rnacentral:rRNA from 1 species
AUGGAGCGUUCUUCUUCCUUGCUCGCCCGCAGCAGCGUCGCCCUCCUGCUGCUGCUGGCUCUCCUACUCUGUUCCUUGGCUUGCUCGGCAGCGGUCCAAGUUUCUCUGGACGGAAACCGCGAGGGGCAACGACCUCCGGCGCCCUGGGCAUCAGGCGCGAGGUCGAAGUACUGCCCAGGCUGCAGCGACGACGGCGUCCCUCCGCCGCCACCGCCGCCGCCUGCAACUACGUCGGCACUUGCGCCUCACCGCAAGACCCUGGGGGUUGCUGCGAGGAUCCCUUCCACGAGAACCACCUAUACUAGAUGA